CCUACGGGAGGCAGCAGUAAGGAAUAUUGGACAAUGGGCGCAAGCCUGAUCCAGCCAUGCCGCGUGAAGGAUUAAGGUCCUCUGGAUUGUAAACUUCUUUUAUAGGGGACGAAAAAAGGGCAUUCUUGCUCACUUGACGGUACCCUAUGAAUAAGCACCGGCUAACUCCGUGCCAGCAGCCGCGGUAAUACGGAGGGUGCAAGCGUUAUCCGGAUUCACUGGGUUUAAAGGGUGCGUAGGCGGGCAGUUAAGUCAGUGGUGAAAUCUCCGAGCUCAACUCGGAAACUGCCAUUGAUACUAUCUGUCUUGAAUAUUGUGGAGGUAAGCGGAAUAUGUCAUGUAGCGGUGAAAUGCUUAGAUAUGACAUAGAACACCUAUUGCGAAGGCAGCUUACUACGCAUAUAUUGACGCUGAGGCACGAAAGCGUGGGGAUCAAACAGGAUUAGAUACCCUGGUAGUCCACGCCCUAAACCGAUGGAUACUCGACAUACGCGAUACACUGUGUGUGUCUGAGAGAAGACAUUAAGUUAUACCACCCGUACGGUAGUACGUACCGCGACGAGUAGAAACGUUAAAGUUAGUAAGUAGUUACGGCGUUGAGACGNGCCGACGGACGACGACGAGGGAGGUUAGG
rnacentral:rRNA from 1 species